UCCCUUUUUCCUUUUUUUCUCUCGACUUGGUGUUGCUAUUUCUGAAUGGACACUCUUUAUUUCUCUUCUUCACCUUGUCCUCUCUGACCCUAACCCUAAUCCUACCUUUUUCCCCGACCAAUUCCAAAUCUUCAAUUUUCAUUCCACAAUACUUUCCCAAUCUCAAACUCAAACCCCUUCACGGGAAUCUCCCCAUCGCUCCUCCGAAUCUCAUUCAGCCAAAACCAUGCCUGCUUCACUGCCGCCGCUGAUGCAGGCUUCAACGUCUACAACUGCAACCCCUUUCCGGAGCCACCGCGACUUCGCUGGCGGCGGAAUCGGCCACGUCGAGAUGCUCUUCCACGAUAACAUAAUGGCACUCGUCGGUGCUGAUCUUUCCCUCAGUUCCCUCCAAACAAGGUCAUGGUCUGGGAUGACCACCAGGGCAUGUGCUCGGCGAGCUCUCAUUCUGAACCGUCGUUCGCCGUGUUCAUCUCUGCCGGGACCGAGAUUAGAGCAGCAAUGAGGAUUUGUCAGAGGCGCAAUCAGUUGGGUUCAAAUAUUAAUAAUUUCUGCUAGAAACUGCCUCCUCAUGGUGGAAAAUCAAUGUAGAUGGAUCAGUGAAACAACCAAAUUACAUGGCUGUUUGUGGAAGGUUCAUUAAAUAUUUUCAUGAGAUUUAAGAUUGUUUCAUGAAAUCCUACAGUUAAAUAUUAAUUUAAAGAGGGCAAAGUUUUAGCCUCUAGGCAUAUUUUCCUUUCUUCCCCUUUGGUUGGGUGGACAGAUUGGUUUUGACUUAUGAGAGUAUCUUUCAUUAAAAUAUUGAUUGUGGAUUGCCUUCUUUGAACAGACCUCAACAUUUUUAUUAUUGAUAUUUCCUCUUGUCAUUGUUUUAGACUCUUGAGUAUUGACAUAGUCUAGUAUCCAUGUAAACCAAUCAGUUGGCUGCUAUUUUGUAUCCUUGUGGUGGCCAUUGUAAUACUCGUAGACUUGUAGUUAAAACAACCUGCUCAAGCUCCAUUCAAUUUAAAUUUUAUGCUCCAUGGAAUAACAAUUCUGGUUCAGACCUGUUGGUUUUCCUAAGUUAUUUGCAUGCAUUUUGAAUGGUGGUCUUCAUCCAUUUUUAAAAUGUUUAUUAUUUCUUAGAUUAUAUUUAUCAAAAUUACUUGUUUUAGUGGCUCAGGAGGUGCAACUUAUUGUGGUAUUGCAUCUCUCCGAUUAAUGGGGUUCAUUGAAGAUAAUAUUCUCUCAAGUUGUGCUUCAUCUUCUUUGAUAGAUGUGCCAUUGCUGCUGGACUGGAUCUUGGAGGUUUUUACAUCUAAACACUUUCAAUAUAAGAUGAAUUGAUUGUACUAAACUAUUAAUUGGUAAAUAAACACAUUGGAUUGAGGAUCGUUUUCAAGAGCUGCUUAUUUGUGAAUGCCCUUCAAAUAAUGACCUGAGGGCGAGCCUUGGAAACGUAGUUAUGGCCAGGUUCCUUUUUUCAUCAAUUUUUUUAAAAUUAUGCCACUAGUUUAAAAAAGGAGCAAAUAUUUUUUGAUAUGGCUGUUUGUGGAAGGUUCAUUCAAUAUUUUUUUUAUACAGAUGCUAAUGACUAUCUAGUAUUUUUUGAUUUCUUUUACAGCUAUCAAGGAAUACUAAUUUGAGUAAAAGAGAAUUGCAUGGUAUUAAACUAAUAUGAUUCAUGUGAUAAUACUAUUUAAUAUUUUGAUAUUAGUGGUUGUCUCCUAUCUACUUUGAUAUUAGUUUUUAGUUUUGUUCUGAGAACAUGCACGUAAAAAUCAUCACAGCUAGUUUGCUCCAUUUAUCUUAUAUUUUCCAUCUUAGUGCGGAGCCAGAUUCAAAGUGAGGAUUUAUCUCCAUUGCAAAACAGGGCAAAAUCCCAAAUAACACCAAUGAGUAGUGUGUGGUGCUAAAGGUUCAAGUUGGUUGUUACUGUCUUGUUUCAAUUGAUGGAAAGAGACGGGUAUUUUGCUUCCCGUUUGGAAAAUGCCCUAUGUUAUCAAAGAGAUGGAUCAGGGUUUUCUCUGUAUGAGAAAUGAUUUUUUUGAUACUUCUUACUGCUUUUUAGUGCCAUCCCUCUAUAGCUUCCUAAUGUUGCUAGAAAGAAUUGAAAGAUGAAUGUACAGUUUUAUUGUCUCUAUGAUCUAUCUCUUUCGUGCUUGAAUUUUGGGAGCAUUUGGCUGAGAGAAGUCAUUGUCCAUGAAACUGUAGAAACUAUUUUACAAAAGAAAGGAGUUGUGUGAGAGUUGAUCCUGAGCUUGUUCGUGGCUGUAUUCUUGAAUCACCCAUUCUAGUUUUGGGGAUUGUUAUUCAUAAAAAAACGGAUCAUUUUUUGUUGUGGGGAAAAGGAUGAUCUUUUUUUUUUGUUCAUUGCUUAGUUUCAGCUUCACUAUAAUUUCAGGUUUCCUUCGUAAAGAUAAUUGAUUCUUUGUACAACGACAGACAUUAUGCAAGGUUUUUUGUGCUUGAAACUAUUGCCAGGGUUCCUUACUUUGUCAUGGCUGGAGUUGCACCUGAGGGGUCACAGUUCGAUGCUCGUCAAUAUGAUGCCAAAAUGAGUGACUUGUGUUACUGUAGUCAUGGUUAUGCAUUCGCAAAGGAGUUUUUUUGGCAGUAGUUAGUAAUGCUCCACAAUACUCGGUCAGGUACUCUGAAUCCAUGGGAAGGGGUUGCAUAUUGGCAAGUGAUGUAGAUUCGGUAAUCCUUACCAAAGAUGCUUGUGGAGGGGAUGGGACGCUUGCUUUUGCAAGAAGUGAAAUAAAUAAGGUAUAAAUCCAAACGGAUUAAUUUUUUCCCCUUAUUCUUAUUUUUUGGUUUGAUCAUGUAACAAAGCCAAUGAAGGUGUACCGUAGGCGUGCUGGUAGAGGAUCUUUGGCUGACGUGGCAGAAGCUAGUGUGGAUGAUGUGGCAGCUGAUGUGGGGUAGGGGAUUAUGAUAAGAAUGGGUAGUUAUGGUAAGGAAGGGUGUAGUACGUGUGUGGGGGAAUGGAAGUUGUUAUGAGUAUGAGUGAGAGGAGAGGAGGUCAUUCAGUCAGUCAGUGAGUUAGUAAGUGAGUAGAAGGAGAGAAUAGAGCACUUUCGAAUUGCUCUAGUUGUAACAGACGUUUUAUUUCUUUUAUUUCAAUACCAGUAAGAGCAUUACAGAGAACUUUAUCUCUUCAUUCUUAUUUGUAUGUCAAUUGAUAAUUCUGCUGU